ensembl:lncRNA
AGUUGAACUCUGUAGGAGCAAAAAAAAACGAUAAUAUAUAUUACGAAUUCAACAAACUGUUUAAUAUUGUACAUAAUAACAGUAAUAUUAAGUCGAUAAAUAUACCCAAAAAUGAGCCAGUAAUAAAUGAAGACAUUGUGUUUUUAAAAGAAAAUGAAAAUGAUAAAAAAAAAAAAAAAAAAAAUGUCUUUUCUAAUUUAUUAAAAAAGCGGAAGAUAAUUAAAAUAAGAGUAAAAAAUGGAUAUGUAUAUACGAAUAAAAAUAGUAGUAGGUUUAUACACACAUGUAAAAAUACGCGUAUACAUAAACAAAAUAAUAAAACAAAACGAAGGAAACGAGAUAGCUUGAACAUGGACAUAUAUAAGGAUAUCCCCCCCAAUGAUACGAUCAUAUUGCAAUUAUUUAAUAAGUCAAAGUUACAAUACUCACUAAUCAAUAAUAUAAAAAAAUAUGUUAACUAUCAAUACAAUAUGAGUAAAAAAAUAUGCUAUUCUUGUUUUAUAUUAAAAGAGAGAAAAAAGUGCAAUAAUAAAAGAAAAAAAUUAUGUACUAUUAAUGAAUUUUUAAAUUUUGAAAAAACGACUAAAUUAAUGAAAAAAGACUUAACAAACGUGACAAAUUUAAAAAAAUUGACAAAUAUGUCAGCUACAUCAGAUGUAAAAAAUAUAAGACAAGUACCAAAUUUAAAAAAUUCGUACACCUUUAAUUACGGUUUUUAUAGUAAGAAAGGACCUUACCACAACAAUGAAGACACCUGCUCACAUGUCAUGUUUAGUUCAUAUAAAGUACACAACGAAAUAAAUAAAUUUAUUAAAAUUAUAGGCACAAAAAAAUAUAACAUAUUUGAAAAUAUAUUAAAACUAUGUAGCAUAAAUUUGGAUAGCUCAUCUUUUUAUAAAAAAAAAAAUAAUAAUAAAAAAUAUGACGUAUGUAAUAAGCUAUGGAUUGAUAGUGAAUUGAAGAGGCAGGAACUGAAUCAGGUAUCAACAAACGUAACAGGCGUAACAAAAAAAACUAUGAAUAAUAUUUAUUUAAAUUGUAUUUUACCAAUAUAUAAGAAUCUAAACAAAACUGAAGUACAUAAUUACAAAGAAAAGGAGGAUUAUGAUAUUAUAAGUUAUUAUUUUUAUGACCAGGAUGAUCCUUAUGUGAAUAAUAAAAAUAAUACUAACAAAAAAAGUACAAAUCGCAACCAAAACGAAUUAAACAUUUUUAAUUAUGCAACUGAAAAAAGUCAAACGUUAAUAAAUGAUAUAAACAGCCGAUUACAUCACACAGAAAAUCAAAAUUUAGUAAAAACAUUUUGUUAUAAAUUUGUAUGCAAGUUAUGUAAAAAAAUUGAAAAGUUGCAUAAUGAAAAAAAAUAUAAAACUAGUUAUUUAAGAUAUUUGUUUGGUUUUUCUACUAAUUUGAAAAAGAGAAUGAAUGAUCCGAGUGUAAAUAGUGUCGGUACUAAGAGUGUAAAAAUAAAAAAUAUAAGUACACCCCAAACAUUUUUUAAACUAAUUGAUUCUGAUAGCUCCAGCUACUCAGAUGAAUUUGAUUAUAUUAAUUAUGUAAAAAAAAGUAAAAACACGUUAUAUAAAUAUCCUGUUACAGAAAAUGCGCAUACAUAUUAUGACAACACUAAUAGUAUUAACAAUAAUAGUAAUGGUAAUAAGGAUAAUAUUAAAAACAACUUGGAUAUGCUAGAUUGUUUACCUAGUCUGGUAAAACGCUUUACAAAGCUUUAUAAAGACACUGAUUUUACUGAACAUGUAAGGACGCACUUAAAAAAAAAAAAAAAAAAAAAAAAAAAAAAAAACGGCUAUAAUAAUGUGCCUAAUAAUGCGCCUAAUAAUGCGCCUAGUACAUAUACGAUGUAUAAAAAUAUAGAACUGAUAAAAACUGAUAUGACAUACGAUUUUUUUAAUGCGUGCAAAAGUUGUAGGCGUCUAAAAAAAUAUGAUAAUUUAGCAAAUAAUUUUUUAUUGAAAUUGUGUAAAAAAAGCAAUAACGUAAACAACUAUCCAUUUUGUAUGAACAUGUCAGAAGAAAAAUUAUUUAAAAUUUUUGUAAGUAUGUAUGAAAAUAGAGAGAGUUGGACUAAAAAUGGUACAACGAAUAGUGCAAUGAAUAAUAUACUAAACAAUAUACACAAUACACAGAAUAUACAUAACAAUUUAAACGAAUUAAAUAAAAACAUAACUAAAAAAUGUAUAGUUCCUAACGCCCUUACAGAUGUAGAUAUAUAUACAAAUAAAAAAAAAAUUAAACAGUGUGGUAUCAGUGUUAAAAAAAAAAUGAAAGAAUACAGA